GACGAACGCUGGCGGCGUGCCUAACACAUGCAAGUCGAGCGGGAAAGUUCCCUUCGGGGAGCGAGUACAGCGGCGCACGGGUGAGUAACACGUAGGUAACCUACCCUGGGGAUCGGGAUAACCUGUCGAAAGACGGGCUAAUACCGGAUAAGACCACGGGAGCCUUGGCUCCUGAGGUAAAAGAUGGCCUAUGCUUGCAAAGCUAUUACCCCGGGAUGGGCCUGCGCGCCAUUAGCUAGUUGGUGAGGUAACGGACUCACCAAGGCGAAGAUGGCUAGCUGGUCUGAGAGGAUGAUCAGCCACACUGGGACUGAGACACGGCCCA
rnacentral:rRNA from 1 species